rnacentral:lncRNA from 1 species
CUGGAUAUGAGUUCCUAAUCAUGGCUUCCUUAAACUAUGUGUUUUCACAUUCUUUCCAAAUUUUCUCUGUGAAAUGCUCAGGGGAUUAUAAGCAUAAAACUCAAAGCAAGGUCUGACUUCACUUUCUUCUUUAUACCGACCAACACCUUUCUCUAAUGGUCAGCUGCAUCUGGUGCUCCCAGGUCAACCAUUGGUUCCCAUGGCCAAUAGUUUUACUUCAUAGUUAAUGUAAGGUUAUGCCCUACUCAACG